rnacentral:tRNA from 2 species
GGAGAGGUACCGAAGCGGUCAUAACGGGGCGGUCUUGAAAACCGUUAGGGUGUAAGCCCACGUGGGUUCGAAUCCCACCCUCUCCGCCA